UUCUAAGGAAGGCAGCAGGCGCGUAAAUUACUCGGUGCCGACACGGCGAGGUAGUGACGACAAAUACCGAUGGCAGCCACUAUGUGGUUGACGAUUGGAAUGAGCGCGACGCAAAAAAGCGCGCGAGUAACAAUUGGAGGGCAAGUCUGGUGCCAGCAGCCGCGGUAAUUCCAGCUCCAAGAGUGUAUACUAAAGCUGUUGCGGUUAAAAAGCUCGUAGUUAACUUUAGGAAUUACUACAAGGCAGAACAUUUAUGUGAUGUUUUGUGGUAAUGAAAUACACACUGGUAACACAGGGUGUAUAAAAAUAUUUAGAUUACUCAUAGAAGCAAUUAAGUUUGCGAAUUUAAACUGUGAGUACUAGAUGUAUUACUUUGAAUAAAAUAGAGUGUUUAAAGCAAAAUCAUUGAUUUAUGAAUAUAUUAGCAUGGGAUAAUGAAGAUAUGUCUCGUGGGUGCGUGAUAUGGAUAUUUUAAUUGGUUUUUAGUCCGGACGGGGUAUGUGAUAGGGUGUCUAGUUGCAGUGCGCACUUGUGUGUGCUGUGGGUAGUGCAUUCUAUAAUGUAUUCAACAGUUCAAGGUCUAUAAUAAACUAUGCAUAUUGACCACGGGGGUUCUCAAAGCACACAACCAGUGCUUAGGAAUAGACAUGGAAUAGAAACAAAUGGGGUGGUUUAUAUUUCAUAGCGAGGGGUGAAAUCCUAUGACCUAUGAAAGAUAAACAAAAGCGAAAGCAUUCCACAAAAAUGUUUUCAUUGAUCAAGAACGAAAGUUGGGGGAUCGAAGACGAUCAGAUACCGUCGUAGUCUCAACUAUAAACUAUGCCGACCAGGGAUUGGAAUAGAAACAAUCGCUGCAGACGGAGGGUCAAACCUUUGGCUGUAGUGAUUUAAUCGAAUUAUUGUUUUAACAGCAAUGUUGAAACAAAUAGACUCCUCCAGCACCUAGAGAGAAAUCGAAUGAGUGUAUGGGCUUCGGGGGGAGUAUGGUCGCAAGGCUGAAACUUAAAGGAAUUGACGGGAGGGCACACCAGGAGUGGAGCCUGCGGCUUAAUUUGACUCAACACGGGGAAACUUACCAGGCCCAGAUAGUAGGAGGAUUGACAGAUUGAGAGCUCUUUCUUGAUUUGCUAGGUGGUGGUGCAUGGUCGUUCUUAGUUGGUGGUGUGAAUUGUCUGGUUAAUUCCGAUAACGAACGAGACCUUAACUUAUUAAAUAAAUUGGGUGAAGGAUUUCCUCGCGCAGCUGCUUUCGGGUGGUUGUUGUGGGGGUCAAAAACUUUACACUAAUUUCUUAAAAGGACUAUUUAUGUUUUAUUAAACUAAUAGAUGGAAGUUUGAGGCAAUAACAGGUCUGUGAUGCCCUUCGAUGCUCUGGGCCGCACGCGCGCUACAAUGAUGAAUUCAAUGAGUAUUAAAGACGCGCAGCACUGCUUUCGGGUAGUGUUGUGCGUCUAUGACCUAAUUCGAAAAGAAUAAGGGAAGCUUUGUAAUGUUCAUCAAGCUGGGGAUAGAUCAUUGGAAUUAUUGGUCUUGAACGAGGAAUUCCUAGUAAGCGCAAGUCAUCAGCUUGCGUUGAUUACGUCCCUGCCCUUUGUACACACCGCCCGUCGCUCCUACCGAUUGGAUGAUCCGGUGAAAAUGUUGGAUUUGACUGCACUCGUUAAGGGUGCGGGUGGAGAAAAUAUUUGAACCUUAUUAUCUAGAGGAAGGAGAAGUCGUAACAAGGUAUCCGUAGGUGAACCUGCGGAAGGAU
rnacentral:rRNA from 1 species